AAUAGAUACCCGGGUAGUCCACGCCGUAAACGAUGAGUGCUAAGUGUUGGGGGGUUUCCGCCCCUCAGUGCUGCAGCUAACGCAUUAAGCACUCCGCCUGGGGAGUACGGUCGCAAGACUGAAACUCAAAGGAAUUGACGGGGGCCCGCACAAGCGGUGGAGCAUGUGGUUUAAUUCGAAGCAACGCGAAGAACCUUACCAGGUCUUGACAUCCCGGUGACCACUAUGGAGACAUAGUUUCCCCUUCGGGGGCAACGGUGACAGGUGGUGCAUGGUUGUCGUCAGCUCGUGUCGUGAGAUGUUGGGUUAAGUCCCGCAACGAGCGCAACCCUUAUUCUUAGUUGCCAUCAUUCAGUUGGGCACUCUAAGGAGACUGCCGGUGAUAAACCGGAGGAAGGUGGGGAUGACGUCAAAUCAUCAUGCCCCUUAUGACCUGGGCUACACACGUGCUACAAUGGACGGUACAAACGGUUGCCAACCCGCGAGGGGAGCUAAUCCGAUAAAACCGUUCUCAGUUCGGAUUGUAGGCUGCAACUCGCCUACAUGAACG
rnacentral:rRNA from 1 species